rnacentral:misc_RNA from 1 species
GUCAGCGGUUACAGAAUCACCUGUUACAGAAGGAGCAACAUCAUGAAACACCUCUUCGCUAUCGUUUGUCUCAUCCUCAUGUGGUCCGCGCCCUCGUAUGCUCAGCAUGCGCAUGGCGGUGAGAAAGGCCCCAACGGCGGCCCGAUGGAGGACGUUGCCGGCAUUGAUGCCGAGCUCAUCACGUCAGGCGCGAAAAUCACUAUCAACGUCUUCGAUCCUAAAAGCGCCAAGCCGGUCCC